ACGGGGCCCGCACAAGCGGUGGAGCAUGUGGUUUAAUUCGAUGCAACGCGAAGAACCUUUACCUUACUCUUGACAUCCAGAGUAAUUUGCUAGAGAUAGCUUAGUGCCUUCGGGAACUCUGAGACAGGUGCUGCAUGGCUGUCGUCAGCUCGUGUUGUGAAAUGUUGGGUUAAGUCCCGCAACGAGCGCAACCCUUGUCAUUAGUUGCCAUCAUUUGGUUGGGCGCUCUAAUGAGACUGCCGGUGACAAACCGGAGGAAGGUGGGGAUGACGUCAAGUCCUCAUGGCCCUUAUGGGUAGGGCUUCACACGUCAUACAAUGGUCGGUACAGAGGGUUGCCAACCCGCGAGGGGGAGCUAAUCCCACAAAGCCGAUCGUAGUCCGGAUCGCAGUCUGCAACUCGACUGCGUGAAGUCGGAAUCGCUAGUAAUCGUGGAUCAGCAUGUCACGGUGAAUACGUUCCCGGGUCUU
rnacentral:rRNA from 1 species